AAAGGAAUAGACGGGGGCCCGCACAAGCAGUGGAGUAUGUGGUUUAAUUCGAAGCAACGCGAAGAACCUUACCAGGGCUUGACAUCCCUUGACGCAUGUAGAGAUACAUGUUCUCUUCGGAGCAAGGAGACAGGUGGUGCAUGGUUGUCGUCAGCUCGUGUCGUGAGAUGUUGGGUUAAGUCCCGCAACGAGCGCAACCCCUGUUGUUAGUUGCCAGCAAGUAAAGUUGGGCACUCUAGCAAGACUGCCGGUGACAAAUCGGAGGAAGGUGGGGACGACGUCAAAUCAUCAUGCCCCUUAUGUCCUGGGCUACACACGUACUACAAUGGCUACUACAGCAGGAAGCGAAGCCGCGAGGCGGAGCGGAUCCCGAAAAGUAGCCCCAGUUCAGAUUGCAGGCUGCAACUCGCCUGCAUGAAGUCGGAAUUGCUAGUAAUGGCAGGUCAGCAUACUGCCGUGAAUACGUUCCCGGGCCUUGUACACACCGCCCGU
rnacentral:rRNA from 1 species